CCCGCUGAACUUAAGCAUAUCAGUAAGCGGAGGAAAAGAAACUAACAAGGAUUCCCGUAGUAACGGCGAGUGAAGUGGGAAUAGCUCAAAUUUAAAAUCUGGCCUUUGGCCCGAAUUGUAGUCUAAAGAGGUACUAUCUUGAUUAUAGUGUGUGCACAAGUGUCCUGGAAUGGGCCAUCACAGAGGGUGAGAAUCCCGUUUGGGUACACACAUAUUAAUCAUCUACGAGGUACUCUCUAAGAGUCGAGUUGUUUGGGAAUGCAGCUCAAAAUGGGUGGUAAACUUCAUCCAAGGCUAAAUAUUGGCAAGAGACCGAUAGCGAACAAGUACCGUGAGGGAAAGAUGAAAAGCACCUUGAAAAGGGAGUUAAACAGUACGUGAAAUUGUUGAAAGGGAAACGUUUCAAGUCAGUCGCGUUGGCUGGUAAUCAACCUUUGCAAUCUUGCUGGGCUUACUUUCCAGUUGACGGGUCAGCAUCAAUUUUGACUGUCAGAUAAAGGCGUGGGGAAUGUGGCAUCUUCGGAUGUGUUAUAGCCCCUCGUCAGAUGUGAUGGUUGGGAUUGAGGAACUCAGCAUGCCUUUACUGGUCGGGGCCUACAAGCCCACGUAACAUGCUCAGGAUGCUGGCAUAAUGGCUUGAACCGACCCGUCUUGAAACACGG
rnacentral:rRNA from 1 species